CUAGAUUCCCAAAAGACAACGCUUUCUCUCUCCUCUCUCUCACUUCCCACUGUCCUAGUCCUACUACUCAGUACACUCUCUCUCUCUCUCUCUCUCUCUCUCUCUCUCUCUCUCUACAUUGAACACUGUGUUUUAUUACUUACCCCUUCUCUGUCUUCAUAACUUCUUCAUUUUCAAUGCAUGAUGAUGAUGAUUCUACUGUCCAAAUUUCACUAUCCAUAAUUCAUUCAUAGUUAAAAAAUUCAUACUUUUACAUUUUUCACUCAAAACCCACUUCUCAAAUUUAGUUUUUUCAAUGGAUGAAACUGGUGAUGACGAGUCUAGGAGGUGCAGUAGAAACGGGUCAGGUGGAUGGAGGUGCAAAGAGCAAGCUUUACCUGGAAAAACCCAUUGUGAAAGGCAUCAUGAGUAUUACAAAAGCAGGAAUUCGAGUAGUUUUGUUGAAAAGAAUGGUGGAAUAAGAAAUGGGGUUGUUGUUGAUGAUCAUGAUAAUGGAGGUAAAGGGUUGUUUGGUGGUGAUGAUCAUGGUGUUGUUGAGGGAUUUGGAGGGGUUUUUGGUGAUGUUGAAGUGAAUGGUGGUGUUAAUGCUGGUAUUGGCCGUGAAAGGUUUAAUCUUUGGCAACAAGGGGAUGGUCAACAAGGUGGGAGGUUUGAGCAAGCCAGUGGGAAUUUAGGUCAGUUUUUGGGUGAUGGAGUUGAAUUUGUUGGUGGGUUUGUUGAGGAUAGGAAUAGGGCUGUUGGUUUAGGUCAGCAAUGGGGUGGUGUAGGUGUAUUUGGAAAUGGUGGUGGUGUUUCUGGUGUUGGUAAAGAUGAUCAUGGAAAUGGUGUUGAUGGUGUUUGUGGAAAUGAUUCACCUGGUUUUGGUUCUGAUGGAAUUAAUGGGUUGAUUGGUGAAGGGGGUUGUUUUGGGAAUUUGUAUGAUAGGAGUUUUCAAGCUCUUCUUUCUCAAGGUAGGGUUUGUGAUGAAGAUGUGAAUUUGACUGGUGGUGGAACUAGCUUUCAAGGGUUGGGUGGUGAAAGUGCUUAUGAUUUUAGAGGUGUGGGAAAUCUAAGUCAGUGUGGUAAGUUUGAAGGUGAAAAAAAUGUUGGUAGUAUAUUAACAGUUCCCGAGUCAAGUAACAAGAUGGGAGCAUUUGGUGUGGAAGAGGGAAUGGAAAUGUUAUUAAGUGGAGGAGUUUCCAUCAAUGAGGAGGCAAGGGGUGAAGCCUUGAAGCCAUUGGCUAAGAGAGGUAGGCCUAAGGGUUCUAAGAAUAAGAUUAAGAAGAAAGAGGUUGACUUAGUCACUAAUGGAGAAACUGUUUGUGGAAGUGCUAAUGUUGGAACAACUGUUGAAAUUCUAGAGACUGAGAAAUCAGUGUUUUCUGGUAAGGCUGAUCAGGAAGGCGUGGACAUGGGCGACAUUGCAAGGACAAAGAAGCGUGGUCAACCGGAAGAUUGGAAGCGUGGAAGGCAUAUUAUUUUGGCAGUUGGUUAUGAAAUUGAUGGGGUUGGUGAGAUUACAGGACCAAUGGAGCGUGGUAGAAAAUCAAAGGGUUCAGUAAACGAAGAGAAGAAUGUUGAGGAGGUUAGCAGUGAAGUUGCUGGUGCCGGUGAGAUUGCAAGGCCUAAGAAGCUUGGUCGGAUGGAAGCAUCAAAAUGCGGGAAGGAGAUUGUCGUAGAGGUUAGUAAUGAUGUUGGUGGUGAGAUUGUGAGGCGAAAGAAGCGUGGUCGACCAAAAGGUUCAAAAUGUGGAAAGGAGAUUGUCCUAGAGGUUAAUAAUGAAGUUGUUGGUGCCGAGGUUAUCAUUGAAGUUGCUGGUGCUGGCGAGAUUGCAAGGCCUAAGAAGCUUGGUCGGCUGGAAGGGUCAAAAUGUGGGAAGGAGAUUGUCGUGGAGGUUAGUAAUGAUGUUGCUGGUGAGAUUGUGAGGCCAAAGAAGCGUGGUCGACCAAAAGGUUCAAAAUGUGGAAAGGAGAUUGUGGUAGAGGUUAAUCAUGAAGUUGCUGGUGCCGGUGAGAUUGCAAGGUCUAAGAAGCGUGGUCGACCAAAAGGUUAUAAGUGUCAAAAGGAGAUUGUUAUUAAGCGUGGUCGACCUAAGGGCACAAAGAACAAGAAGAAAAUACUAGAAGAUCAGGAAUUGCAUGUCCAAACCCUUGUUCAGGAUGAGGUUCAAAAUGUUAAACCAAAGCUAGGUCGACCAAAGGGGUCUAAAAAUAAGAAGAAAAAUAUUGCCGGUGAAGAUGGAAACAAGUUACAUAAGGAGAAAAAAAGGCGUGGUUGGCCAAAAGGUUUUUGCUUAAAGCCAAAGGAGAUUGCUGCUCGAUUGGAUGAGAAGAUUGAAAGGCGUGGUAGGCCAAAGGGUUCUGGCAUGAAGCCAAAGGAGACUGCUGUUCAAUUGGAUGCGAAGAUUGAAAGGCGUGGUAGGCCAAAGGGUGCUGGCAAAAAGCCAAAAGAGAUUGUUGUUCGAUUGGAUACGAAGAUUGAAAGGCGUGGUAGGCCAAAGGGUUCAGGGAAAAAGCAAAAGGAGGUUGCAUCUCAAUUGGCUUUACAGAUUGAAAGUCAGAAGAGUACUCGUGUUGAUGGAGCUUUGAGUACGAUUGUGCCACAUAAGCAUAUACAAGAGGAAUCCAUUUCACCGCUAAAAGAUCCAGUAAAUAAGGAGGAAAAGUCAGAUUUUGUCCUUGAGUGCUCAAAGGAUUCUGGAAUUGAAAAGAUAACAAAAGGGUUGAUGAGCAAAUCUGGCGAUGUCCAUAAGAGGUGCAGUGAAAGAUUAAGAACAUUGCUAACCGACCACAAGAAUUCUCAGGAUGUUGAAGUGGAAGAAACUUUUUGUGAAAAUGAGGUGGAAGAAGCUAUAGAUCAUGAAUUGGAAUCUUCAGAUUUGAUGGGUGAACCAGAGACCAAAAAGGAGCCUAGGAAUUUAAGGUGCCAUCAGUGCUGGAAGAAAAGUAGGACUGGAAUUGUUGUUUGUACCAAGUGCAAAAGAAAAAAAUAUUGUUAUGAGUGCAUAGCAAAAUGGUACCAAGAUAAAACUAGAGAGGAGAUAGAGACUGCUUGUCCCUUUUGUCUUGAUUAUUGCAAUUGCCGACUGUGCUUGAAGAAAACUAUAUCGACGAUGAAUGGGAAUGGCGAAGCAGAUGCAGAUGUCAAAUUACAGAAAUUGUUUUACUUGCUUAAGAAAACUCUGCCUUUACUCCAACAUAUCCAACGGGAGCAGAAAUCAGAGUUGGAAGUAGAAGCAAGCAUUCACGGUUCCCUGAUGGUGGAAGAGAAGGAUAUUCUGCAGGCAGCAGUUGACGAUGAUGAUCGAGUUUAUUGUGACAACUGCAAUACGUCCAUUGUCAAUUUCCACAGAAGUUGUGUCAAUCCGUAUUGUCGGUACGACCUCUGUCUCACUUGUUGCACAGAACUUAGAAAUGGAGUUCAUUCCAAAGAUAUUCCUGCUAGUGGUGGUAAUGAGGAAAUGGUCAAUACACCACCAGAAACUAUUGCUUGGAGAGCAGAGACAAAUGGCAGCAUUCCUUGUCCUCCAAAAGCUAGAGGAGGUUGUGGUACUGCUACCCUUUCGCUGAGGCGCCUAUUCAAAGCUAAUUGGAUCGAAAAAUUGACUAGGGAUGCGGAGGAACUUACCAUCAAAUAUCAGCCACCUAUUGUUGAUCUUUCUUUAGAAUGUUCAGAGUGUCGUAGUUUUGAGGAAGAUGCAGCACAUAAUUCUGCAAGGAAGGCAGCUUCUAGAGAAACCGGUCAUGACAACUUAUUGUACUGCCCUGAUGCCAUUGAAAUCGGAGACACGGAAUUUGACCAUUUCCAAAGACACUGGAUAAGAGGUGAACCUGUUAUUGUUAGGAACGUGUACAAAAAGGGUAGUGGCCUUAGCUGGGACCCAAUGGUGAUGUGGAGAGCUUUUAGAUUGGCAAAGAACAUAUUAAAAGAUGAGGCAGACACUUUUAAAGCCAUUGACUGCUUAGAUUGGUGCGAGGUACAAGUUAACGCCUUUCAGUUCUUCAAAGGCUACUUGACAGGGCGUAGGUACAGAAAUGGAUGGCCGGAAAUGUUGAAGCUAAAGGAUUGGCCUCCAACAAAUUUUUUCGAAGAUUGUUUGCCAAGGCAUGGUGCUGAGUUUACAGCGAUGCUUCCUUUUAGUGAUUACACACAUCCGAAAUCUGGUAUUUUAAACCUUGCCACAAAGCUGCCUACUGUUUUGAAGCCAGAUUUGGGCCCUAAAACAUACAUUGCUUAUGGAGCUUUAGAAGAGUUGAGUAGAGGUGAUUCUGUGACAAAAUUACAUUGUGACAUUUCAGAUGCGGUCAAUAUUCUGACGCACACAGCUGACGUAAAGACACCAGCGUGGCAAUCCAAAAUCAUAAAAAAGUUAAAGAAGAAAUAUGAAGUUGAAGAUAUGCGAGAGCUCUAUGGUCUGGACAGUAAGGCAGCUGGUUCGCGUGGAAGAAAACGUAAAAAGCGUCGCGUAGGUGUUACCGUGGAUCUUAAAAUAUCUGAAAAAGAAGACAUUAAUGGUAGAGACUCAACCUUGCUUGAAAGUCAAGAAAAAGAAGACAAACUUGAUAGAGAAGCUUGUGUUCAAGAGUUCUCUGAAUCUACCAAAAGUAAAUUAGAUUUAAAUGUGAGCAAUCAGGAAGUCAUCGAUUCACCAAGGUUUCAGCAAUUUGAUCUCAAUAGUCUUGAUUCCAAUUUCUUGGUUCCUAGAAAUGACUGCGAGUCGAUGCUUUAUGAUAAUGUGGAACAACGGUGCUCACGACCACGCGAUGGAUCUUGUAAAGGAAAUACAUCCGUGAUUGAUAAUCAACCUUGUGGUGGAACAAAAGAAACAACAUUUGUCAAUGGAUUAGAUUCUUCAGACAUUUCCUCUUCGGAUAUUGAGACUGACAAAAUAGAGUCUGUUGAAAAUGAGAUGCCGAGUAAUAAUUUAUGUGGGAAUGAUGUUCAUUUGGAGACUCAAUAUGGGAGUGCUGUGUGGGACAUAUUCCGUAGGCAAGAUGUACCAAAACUAACAGAGUACCUAAAUAAACACCAUAGAGAGUUUCGCCACAUAACUAGUCUUCCAGUGAAUUUUGUGAUUCAUCCCAUUCAUGACCAGCACUUUUAUUUGAAUGAGAAACAUAAAAAGCAGCUAAAGCUAGAAUAUGGUGUUGAACCCUGGACGUUCGAGCAACAUCUCGGGGAAGCUGUUUUCAUACCUGCAGGAUGCCCUCAUCAAGUGAGAAAUAGAAAGCCUUGCAUCAAAGUGGCUAUGGACUUUGUUUCGCCCGAGAAUGUUAAUGAGUGUGUUCGAUUGACAGAGGAAUUCCGGUUACUUCCAAAAUACCAUAGAUCUAAGGAAGAUAAAUUAGAGAUAAAGAAGAUGGCACUCUAUGCUGCCGAUGUUGCUAUCGCUGAAGCCACUAAACUCGUGGGAGCUAAAUAAGUACUUCACUCUUAAUCCUUUUCCAUUUGAUGCCAUGAAGAUUAAUCUUUUUGAAAUCAUAUUAUGAAUUUGAAGUCUGCCAUCAACAACUUUUUGACAAAUAAUUCUCAACAGAAGCAAUUUUACUGUUGUCUGUUGGUUUUAUUCAUCUUGAUUUUAACCAUUUUGGAAGAGCUUGUAAAUGUGAUGUGAAUGUAUCUGGUUCUGCUGUAUCAUAUUAAGACAUUGGAAAUUCCGUCAGAGUUCAAGUUGAAUGUUGGUUCCUGAUGCACUAGCACUACACACCAACAAGAUGUGUAGAGUAAUGCCAAGUACUCGCGAGUUUUUGACGAACGGUAUCAACAUUUCCGUGUUGUUGGAAAUUAGUACUAGUCAGUUUGAAUAUUUUUAGCUAGACUCUUGUAUGAUUGUCUGAUUUAUCUCAUUCAACAACUUUUUGUUUUGAUUAUGUAUCUUCUAGUGCCUGAUCUUGAGCCCAUGUAGAUCAUUUUACGGGUUUUGGAUUUUUUGAAAUCACAAGGUCAUGGACCUUGGUCGUUGAAUGAAGAUUUGUCGGUUUAUGUUUUGAUAUGUAUUUUCAA